UCUCUCUUUCUAUCUCUUUCUAUGUCUAGUUUCGUUUACAGUUGUAGUAAUGGUGAUGAUGGUUUUGAUGUUCUUUCUUGUGGGUUUAGCGGUUGCAUCUUAAGUCAUACUUUUAUUGACCAAGUCUUUGUGUAUUUUUUUUUAUAUUUCAUUUAAUGGGUCUUAGCGAAACUUCCUCUUUUGCAGUUUUGCUUUCCCCAAUACGAUAUACUACUCGCUCUUUGCUGUUUUCUCUUACACAUGCGUAAUUCUGAAUUCUGAUUUCUGAGUUUAUCUAAUUGUUGAGGGAUCAGAAUGGAGUGAGGUUUGAUGGACUGAAUUGCAGACUCGGCAUCUCCAGCUUUCCUUGAUCUCGUUGUGGGUUUGUAAUUCAUUUAUGGUUUAAUUGUAUAUAGUUUGAAUUUGUAAGCACACAGUAGAUGAGGAAGUAAUUUUGAUCGAGUUGGGACCGGUGAAGAAGCCAGGAGGUUGGCAUGAAUGGUUUGUUAGUUAAUUUUGAAAGAAAUGGCCUGAAGUCCUGCUUCUUCUUCUUCU